AGUCCGUGUCAAUGUUAGAGGUAGGUGUACUUUGUGUAUGAGUGUAGGGUGGACAAUACAGUCACAGACAGGAAUGAUGUGUUAGUACAGAGGAAGAGAGUCAGUGUCAGUGUUAGAGCACGUCCAAAGUUCACUGAUGAUUCUGAACAAAGAUUCGGUGCUGAAGUAGGAACAAACACAACAGUGGUCCAGAGUUUCUACAACAGUGACCUGAAUUACACAUCCUAUAACUGGACAUUUGGACAGCUGGACACCCCCGUCAACAGGUCAGGCUCAGUCAGGUCAAGUAAGGUGACACUGCGGAAGAACAACAAGGAGGUGCAGCAUGCUGGCUUCAGUGUGUCUCUGGAGAUCCAGAACUUCCAGGAACAGGACAUCGGGGUCUACACAGUCACUGUGUGUAAUGUAGUGGGCUGUAAUUCAUCAGAGGUCAACUUGGCAGCAUCAGGUAGAAACUGUAUUGUUUAUGCAGUGAAUGAGUGCGUAUGGUUUUAUGCCUCUUUCAGAAAUAUUCCAGCAACAUCUCGACACCAGAAAUGGACCUCUCACAUUGGACCCAUGUGAGGAAUCGAACCCGGAUCUUCGGUGUAACAAAUGCAGUAUUGUUCAAGUGAACACAAACACGUAUAAUGCUUAGGUAACCUAGUUGGUUGUAAAUGAUCGGAGGUUUACUUGACAGUAGGAGGUAAUUCCAUUG